ensembl:lncRNA
AUUGACAUACUGUAUUUAUUGCACAAAUUUCCCCUAAAAUUGGGAAUGGUUAUUAUAAUACAAGUGCACAUCUUGGGAAAUAUAUACAAAACCAGAAGAGAGAACAAGUAUGUACAUUUUACCCAGCAUUUUACAAGUACCACCAUCUAAAUAAUUUAGAGAAAGCAAAAAAAAAAAUUGUCAUAAAACAUCUCUAAUAACUAACAGGGAAAACAUCCGCAAGGUGGAAAAUCCUUUCUUUUAAAUAGGUUUUGUUCUUAGCAGCCCAGUGUUUGCCAAUUGCAACAACACCAACUUUGCUCAGUCGUGUGCCUUAGUACACUUAGUUUUCAGCCAGGAAAUUAAGACAUGUUAAUGGAGACUGGUAAUAGUGGAAACAAAAGAAAUCAAACAUUAGUUUUCUAUUCACAUAAAAACCAUCGCGAUACACUUUAAUGGAGUCCUGUAGAAGAUCCCUUUUUGUGGUGUUUAACACACGGACAUUCGUACCACGUUGUUCAUGUACCCUCAAAGUUCACUUACUUACAGGAAAACGUCCCUUCAUGCAGGGUUUGGGAUAAGUUGGGACCAAUGUGCUCCUCGGGAGGGGGAUGAGGAGGCCACAUCCAUGGCCGCUCCGCUGGGACAAUGCUGAGGGGUCGUGUCAGGCAGGGGACAGCAGGGAAGGACACCACCAAAUCACCUCUUUCUUCUCAAGUUAAUACUAAUUUCAAGCUGUGCAAGGGCCGUUUGAGAGAGUCAAAUCCGCAUCAGCAAUGCCAACAACUCGCCUGAUCAUGGUUAAAGGGAGGAGGAUGUGAUAUCUUCCUUGUAAGCAUGGUCGGGGGGGGCUUGUCCAGCUAUUUAGGGAUGUACUGUGGAUGGACCCACAUGAGGAACAACCCAGAGGCAGGGGUUCUAGAGCCAGGACCAUGCUGAUACCACCAGGUUACAACUGCAAGUCUAUGUAUAACGUUCAGAAUCGUAACAGCUGGCUCUAAAUUGAGCACAGCAAAGAGUUAAACACCCCUGUGCUGAGCUCAGUGCUGUAUUUCGUUAAGAAUGGGUUUACACAACUGGGCCCCUACGUUCUGUGCUCAUUCCAAAAGCCAGACGUAAAAUAAUGGUGUGGUGAAGGAAGGACAUUGGAAGAAUAGGGGAGAAACGUCCUCAGAUCACGUAUUAAACACAAGGUUCUUCCCUGCAGCAGUCAGCGUUAGAGUUUAUAUACAAAAGAGCUCCCAAUGACACUGCCUAUAUUAAGGUUUGCUUGACUUACUAAGGUGGACUCAGUCCUACACGGAAAGGGCCGCGGGUUUCCCAUGUGGGUCUUCCCCGGGACAGAGCCUGAAGUUACAGCUUUUAAGUACUCCUGAAAUCCCGGCGCAGGGAGGAAGGGAGGAGCCAGCGCUGGGGCAGGGAUCUCUCCUAUUGUUUUCAAGUUUAUCAAAUGGUUAAAAUAGAUUUGUAUUUCAAAUAACUCCUCAAACAAUAGCAGGCGUGCUAUGCUAUUGAAUAGGUGAUUACAGAAGGGCAUAUUUAUAGAGCUGUUUAUAGAGUUGAGAGACCACGUGAACUCGUGUCUCCUACUUGGGUGGCUAACCCAGGAGUUCCAACCUACUGAACAUCAGGGAUGGAAACAGAACCUAAAAACCAGCAACAUUAACUGGCUGCCAGGACAAAUACGCAAAGAAAAGCCUCUAAUGAAGUGUCCAGUUAAACUGAGGUAGUAGAGCCUUUGAAAACAUAAUCCACCUACCACUGUAUAUUUACAUUACUUACACCAGGCUGGGUCCAUCAGCUAUUCGUACAACUGUUGUAUAUACAAUGACAAAACAGCGAUGGCUGAGGAAAGGAGAAAUGCUGAGAAUAAAAUAAACAACAUUUCCUGCUGGUAAUUACACAAGUGAGUAGAAAAGGGAUUAGAGUCAUCUGCAUCGAGGGUGUAUCUGUCCAAAAAUAACCUGGUGUUACUGCACUGUGGUGUAAUCAACGUUCUGGUUUUGUAGAAUGGCUUUAAAAAAUAUAUCGAUUCGUUACCUGAGCAAUUUAAGGGUAAUAAUAGUCUAUUCACUCCUUCCCCACUGCUUUGGUACAAUUGUUUC